GGAAAAGUCGUAACAAGGUCUCCGUAGGUGAACCUGCGGAGGGAUCAUUACAGAGUUCAUGCCCUACCGGGUAGAUCUCCCACCCUAUGUUAUUAUUACUUUGUUGCUUUGGCGGGCCGUUAGGCUCCGGCCCGACUACCGGCCCCGGCUGGUAAGCGCCCGCCAGAGGACCCAAAACCCUGAAUAUUAGUGUCGUCUGAGUACUAUAUAAUAGUUAAAACUUUCAACAACGGAUCUCUUGGUUCUG
rnacentral:misc_RNA from 1 species